rnacentral:rRNA from 1 species
UGUUGCCAGCGGUCCGGCCGGGAACUCAAAGGAGACUGCCAGUGAUAAAUUGGAGGAAGGUGGGGAUGACGUCAAGUCAUCAUGGCCCUUACGACCAGGGCUACACACGUGCUACAAUGGCGCAUACAAAGAGAAGCGACCUCGCGAGAGCAAGCGGACCUCAUAAAGUGCGUCGUAGUCCGGAUUGGAGUCUGCAACUCGACUCCAUGAAGUCGGAAUCGCUAGUAAUCGUGGAUCAGAAUGCCACGGUGAAUACGUUCCCGGGCCUUGUACACACCGCCCGUCACACCAUGGGAGUGGGUUGCAAAAGAAGUAGGUAGCUUAACCUUCGGGAGGGCGCUUACCACUUUGUGAUUCAUGACUGGGGUGAAGUCGUAACAAGGUAACCGUAGGGGAACCUGCGGUUGGAUCACCUCCUUACCUUAAAGAAGC